rnacentral:misc_RNA from 1 species
AAUCAAUGCCUUAACAUUGCUCUGCACAACAGCCAGUUUAUCAGUUAUUUUACAAUGAAAGGUGGCAAUGGGCAAUCCUUUCAAAAUCUUAACUUUGCCGAUGACUGACCAAAAGUACAGUUAGAAUUGUGAAGUCUCAAAACAAAUUUUUAAGAUAAUAAACAAAUAAUAAUGAUGUUAAUGGCCGAAACUCAGUUCAGCAUGCAAACCUUACGACAAG